AGCUGGGCAGCCUCUGGGGGUCCUGUCCCCCACCCCUGCCUCCAGGUGGAGAGGUCAUCUGCCUAGGAGGAACUGGACCAGACCCUGCAGGUGCCUGGCCCUCUCUGCCUAUUUCUGUAACUUCGAGAAAUGAGGACAUUAGACCAGACGGUUUCCUGGGCCCCUGGGAUCCCCGAGCUCCGCGAUGUUGUACAUUUUUAUCGAGCUCAUCUUGAGUGCCAGGUACUUUUUCUGCAGUCACAGCCUCCUGCAAGAGGGUAUUACUGCACCCAUCCAGCACAAGGCUGUGAGCCCUCCUUCAGAUGAUGUCGCUUUGCACAGGCGUAUGACCGGAACUUCGUUCCCAGACCGACCAGGAUUUAGGAAAGGCCACGUGGCCGUUUCUCGCAUUGGAGUCGAGCAGAAAUGAGGAUGCAGCAUCCUUCUGCCCUACAAAGGGAUGAAGUUCUGAUCACGCAAUGAUGUAGACAGACCUUGAGAACAUUAAGCAAGGGAAAGAAGCCAGACACAGGAGGACAGAUCCUGCACAACUCCACUUUUAUGAAAUAUCCAGAACAGGUAAAUCAUCAAGACAGAAAGCAGGUGGUGGUGGCUGGCGGGAAGGAGAGUUGGGGGGUCUGGGGUUUCAUCAGAGAGAUGAAAAAGUUCUGGAGCUGGAUAGUGACAAUGGUUUUACAACAUCGUGAGUGUAUUUAAUAUGCUGAAUUGUACACUUGGUUGAGAUGGUAA